AAAAGUUAUUUGCAGAUCCCUCUUUUGUGCAAAACUGCAAAUACUUUCUCCUUUUCUCAUUUCAGAUCCCUUUCUCCUUUUCUCUUUUGCUUUCCUCUCAAAUCAAAGAAAUAAUAUGACACUCAGUAGCUUGUGAUCUUAAUUCUUAGCCAUCGUUUGCCUGUUCUCAUUUCAGAUUUAUCACAGAGCAUUCGGAUCUUAUGAUCUUAGGCUACAGGCUACAAGACUCAACUUUACACUAAAUUGUCUUUCGCUAUGGAAGCAACAACUUCUGGAACUAAAUCGCUAGUGAUUGACAACAACCCUCCGAUUGUGCCAACAGAAUCUCAACAACAACAAGGCUGCAACCUUUGUUUAUUUUUGCCCAGUUGUUGUAGUAUAUUGCACUGAUUUGGAUUUUUGCCCAAUCUUUAAGCUGCAGUGAUUUGGAUUUUUGCCCAAUCUUCAAGCUGCAGUGAUUCCUUUCAGUUGCUGUAGCAUAUUGCACUGAUUUGGAUUUUUGUUUUUGCUACAUCUGACAUUUUAUGGCCAUUUGACAUUUUAGUUAUAUUAUAAAGUUAUAACUUCAAACA